rnacentral:rRNA from 1 species
AACGAACGCUGGCGGCGUGCUUAACACAUGCAAGUCGAACGCGAAAGGGACUUCGGUCCUAAGUAGAGUGGCGCACGGGUGAGUAACGCGUAAGUAAUCUACCCCUGUAUUCGGAAUAACCUACCGAAAGGUGAGCUAAUACCGGAUACGUUUAUCUUGAUGCGAAUGAUGAUAAAGAAAGGUGGCCUCUUCUUGAAAGCUACUGUACAGGGAUGAGCUUGCGUACCAUUAGCUAGUUGGUAGGGUAAUGGCCUACCAAGGCUGUGAUGGGUAGCCGGCCUGAGAGGGUGAUCGGCCACACUGGAACUGAGACACGGUCCAGACUCCUACGGGAGGCAG